rnacentral:misc_RNA from 1 species
GUAAUUGAUUGCAUUGGCAUUGCUGCCUGCUAUUCACAUUCUGAGACUAAUGGCAUUGGUGACAACCACAUUUCGGGGACAGCCCACUUUUGCUGCAGAAGGACGCAAAAAGCCCACUCUGCAGCCCAUGGGAGUCCCACCGGCGUGAUCGAGCCGAGGGUGUAUCGAGUUUCCCCGAACCGCACACUCAGGCGGAAUAAAAACCGACACUUGAGAAGAACCGACAAUGAUCCUUCCGCAGGUUCACCUACGGAAA